rnacentral:lncRNA from 1 species
UUUUGUACAGCCAAACAUUUACAUCAGAGCCUCGGAAUGUGGCAGUUUUGUAUAUACAUGAAGUGCGCUCAUCGAGAAUGUCAGCUGUGCAGCUCUCCAUAGAAGCCGGCCAGACAGGACAGGCUCGGGAGGGAACCAGCCCGUUCUACAUCUGGUCUUCCAGUGCAUACUGGCCUGACAGAACCUCUGCCCUUCAUGAAGUCACAUUUCUUCGGCAUUUUCUAACAGUGAAAUCACUUCAAGAACAAUGGCUCCUAACACAGGUAUCAGCCUUGUUACAGGAGUUUGUACUGAAGUGCUGCAAAUCUAGUAAUAAACUUGGGCCUCUUCCCUCUUCUGGGAGGGAUAAGCCAGAUAAACUAUAAUUAAAAGAAUGUAUCACCAGCAGAUCUGCAUGACAAGAAUUACUAAAAGAAGUUCUUCAGGCUCAAGGGAAAUGACACCAGAUGGGAAUUCAGAUGCCACGUCAUGAAGACAGUCAAGCUGCUUAUGGAGGGGUCCACAUGGUAAGAGACGGAGGUGUCUCGUCAACAGCCAGUAUCAAUGUGCUGCAACGUGAGUGAGAUCUUGGAAGCAACCCCCCCAGCCCGAGUCCAGCCUUCAGAUGACUGUAGUCCUGGACAAUGUGUUGACUGUAAUCUCAUAAGAAACCACAGCCCAGGAUCACCCAGCUCAGCCAAUUCUGAUUCCUGACUCACA